rnacentral:rRNA from 1 species
GAUGAACGCUGGCGGCGUGCCUAAUACAUGCAAGUCGAGCGAACAGAUAAGGAGCUUGCUCCUUUGACGUUAGCGGCGGACGGGUGAGUAACACGUGGGUAACCUACCUAUAAGACUGGAAUAACUCCGGGAAACCGGGGCUAAUGCCGGAUAACAUUUAGAACCGCAUGGUUCUAAAGUGAAAGAUGGUUUUGCUAUCACUUAUAGAUGGACCCGCGCCGUAUUAGCUAGUUGGUAAGGUAACGGCUUACCAAGGCAACGAUACAUAGCCGACCUGAGAGGGUGAUCGGCCACACUGGAACUGAGACACGGUCCAGACUCCUACGGGAGGCAGCAGUAGGGAAUCUUCCGCAAUGGGCGAAAGCCUGACGGAGCAACGCCGCGUGAGUGAUGAAGGUCUUCGGAUCGUAAAACUCUGUUAUUAGGGAAGAACAAAUGUGUAAGUAACUGUGCACGUCUUGACGGUACCUAAUCAGAAAGCCACGGCUAACUACGUG